rnacentral:rRNA from 1 species
UGGGGAAUCUUGCACAAUGGGGGAAACCCUGAUGCAGCGACGCCGCGUGAGCGAUGAAGGUUUUCGAAUCGUAAAGCUCUGUCCUAUGGGAAGAUAAUGACGGUACCAUGGGAGGAAGCCCCGGCUAACUACGUGCCAGCAGCCGCGGUAAUACGUAGGGGGCGAGCGUUGUCCGGAAUUACUGGGCGUAAAGGGUUCGCAGGCGGCAUGGCAAGUCCGAUGUAAAAGGCGAAGGCUCAACCUUCGUAAGCAUCGGAAACUGUCAAGCUUGAGUGAAGGAGAGGCAAGUGGAAUUCCUAGUGUAGCGGUGGAAUGCGUAGAUAUUAGGAGGAAUACCGGUGGCGAAGGCGACUUGCUGGACUUCAACUGACGCUGAGGAACGAAAGUGUGGGUAGCAAACAGG